rnacentral:rRNA from 1 species
UACGUAGGGUGCGAGCGUUAAUCGGAAUUACUGGGCGUAAAGUGUGCGCAGGCGGCCGCGCAAGUCGAGUGUGAAAGCCCCGGGCUUAACUUGGGAAUUGCGCUCGAAACUACGUGGCUGGAGUGUGGCAGAGGAAGGUGGAAUUCCACGUGUAGCGGUGAAAUGCGUAGAGAUGUGGAGGAACACCAAUGGCGAAGGCAGCCCUCUGGGCCAACACUGACGCUCAUGCACGAAAGCGUGGGGAGCAAACAGG